UACGUAGGGUGCGAGCGUUAAUCGGAAUUACUGGGCGUAAAGUGUGCGCAGGCGGCCGCGCAAGUCGGGUGUGAAAGCCCCGAGCUUAACUUGGGAAUUGCGCUCGAAACUACGUGGCUGGAGUGUGGCAGAGGAAGGUGGAAUUCCACGUGUAGCGGUGAAAUGCGUAGAGAUGUGGAGGAACACCAAUGGCGAAGGCAGCCUUCUGGGCCAACACUGACGCUCAUGCACGAAAGCGUGGGGAGCAAACAGG
rnacentral:rRNA from 1 species